rnacentral:rRNA from 1 species
UACGGGGGGGGCAAGCGUUGUUCGGAAUUACUGGGCGUAAAGGGCGCGUAGGCGGUCCUGUAAGUGGUGUGUGAAAUCCGAUGGCUCAACCAUCGAGCUGCGCUCCAUACUGCAGGACUUGAGUACAGCAGAGGAAAGUGGAAUUCCAGGUGUAGCGGUGAAAUGCGUAGAUAUCUGGAGGAACACCGGUGGCGAAGGCGGCAUCCUGGACCAAUAUUGACGCUGAGGAGCGAAAGCCAGGGGAGCAAACGGG